rnacentral:rRNA from 1 species
AGGAUCAACGCUGGCGGCGUGCCUAACACAUGCAAGUCGAACGCGAAAGUCCCGCAAGGGAUGAUUAGAGUGGCAAACGGGUGAGUAACGCGUGGGUGACCUGCCUUCGAGUGGGGGAUAACGUUCCGAAAGGGACGCUAAUACCGCAUGACAUCCUGCCUUUGAAGAGGCGGAGAUCAAAGCUGGGGAUCGCAAGACCUGGCGCUUGGAGAGGGGCCCGCGUCCGAUUAGCUAGUUGGUGGGUAACGGCCUACCAAGGCAACGAUCGGUA